UACAGAGGUGGCAAGCGUUGUUCGGAAUUACUGGGCGUAAAGGGCGCGUAGGCGGUUCUGUAAGUCCCGCGUGAAAUCCCCCGGCUCAACUGGGGAACUGCACAGGAAGCUAGCGGGCUUGAGUUCGGGAGAGGGAAGCGGAAUUCCGGGUGUAGCGGUGAAAUGCGUAGAUAUCCGGAGGAACACCGGUGGCGAAGGCGGCUUCCUGGACCGACACUGACGCUGAGGCGCGAAAGCUAGGGGAGCAAACGGG
rnacentral:rRNA from 1 species